AACGAACGCUGGCGGCAUGCCUAACACAUGCAAGUCGAACGAGACCUUCGGGUCUAGUGGCGCACGGGUGCGUAACGCGUGGGAACCUGCCCUUAGGUUCGGAAUAACUCCCCGAAAGGGGUCCUAAUACCGGAUAUUGUCUUCGGUCCAAAGUUUUAUCGCCUUUGGAUGGGCCUGCGUUGGAUUAGCUAGUUGGUAGGGUAAAAGCCUACCAAGGCGACGAUCCAUAGCUGGGUUGAGAGGAUGAUCAGCCACACUGGGACUGAGACACGGCCCAGACUCCUACGGGAGGCAGCAGUGGGGAAUAUUGGACAAUGGGCGAAAGCCUGAUCCAGCAAUGCCGCGUGAGUGAUGAAGGCCUUAGGGUUGUAAAGCUCUUUUACCCGGGAUGAUAAUGACAGUACCGGGAGAAUAAGCACCGGCUAACUCCGUG
rnacentral:rRNA from 1 species